GACGAACGCUGGCGGCGCGCUUAACACAUGCAAGUCGAACGGAAAGGCCUGCUUUCCCUUGUGGAUUGCGGGUACUCGAGUGGCGAACGGGUGAGUAACACGUGAGUGAUCUGCCCCCAACUUGGGUAUAAGCCUGGGAAACUGGGUCUAAUUCCCGAUAGGACUGCAGGGUGGUGCCUGUGGUGGAAAACGAUUUUCUAGUGGUUGGGGAUGAGCUCGCGGCCUAUCAGCUUGUUGGUGGGGUAAUGGCCUACCAAGGCGGCGACGGGUAGCCGGCCUGAGAGGGUGGACGGCCACAUUGGGACUGAGCUACGGCCCAGACUCCUACGGGAGGCAGCAGUGGGGAAUAUUGCACAAUGGGCGGAAGCCUGAUGCAGCGACGCCGCGUGGGGGAUGACGGCCUUCGGGUUGUAAACUCCUUUCGACCGCGAGGAAGCCACCUGGUUGGAAGGGUGGUGACGGUAGUGGUAGAAGAAGCACCGGCUAACUACGUG
rnacentral:rRNA from 1 species